GCCAGCCCACCUGGUUAGUCUGCCUAGCCUUAGGACUUGUACUAGCUACAGGCUGUGGGAGAAGGACCCUCGGAGACCCUCAAGCCACACAAUGGAUCGAAUUCAGGAUCUUGCGCUUGCAAGACAGGCGCGGUGCCACUGAGCUAAAUCCCUGGCCCAGUGUAUUGUUAAGAAGGACAGGAAAAGGAUCACGGCAUCACUGAGCUAAAUCCCCAGCCCUGAAGUAUAUGACUAUUUCUAGGUGUUAACGAAAUCCCUCCUUUAUAGUAAUAUGUGAGGAGGAUUUUUCUUCUAUGAAAAACUGGCACAAAUUGAGAAAAGGAGCAGAGUGGAACAUCUGUUAUCUCCUUUCAAGGCUAACAUUAGAAGCUUUUGCAAAAAUUGAUAUAAGUUCAAUCUUCU
rnacentral:lncRNA from 1 species